rnacentral:rRNA from 1 species
GUGCUAUACUGCAAGUUGAGCGCUGAAGGUUGGUACUUGUACCGACUGGAUGAGCAGCGAACGGGUGAGUAACGCGUGGGGAAUCUGCCUUUGAGCGGGGGACAACAUUUGGAAACGAAUGCUAAUACCGCAUAACAACUUUAAACACAAGUUUUAAGUUUGAAAGAUGCAAUUGCAUCACUCAAAGAUGAUCCCGCGUUGUAUUAGCUAGUUGGUGAGGUAAAGGCUCACCAAGGCGAUGAUACAUAGCCGACCUGAGAGGGUGAUCGGCCACAUUGGGACUGAGACACGGCCCAAACUCCUACGGGAGGCAGCAGUAGGGAAUCUUCGGCAAUGGACGAAAGUCUGACCGAGCAACGCCGCGUGAGUGAAGAAGGUUUUCGGAUCGUAAAACUCUGUUGGUAGAGAAGAACGUUGGUGAGAGUGGAAAGCUCAUCAAGUGACGGUAACUACCCAGAAAGGGACGGCUAACUACGUGCCAGCAGCCGCGGUAAUACGUAGGUCCCGAGCGUUGUCCGGAUUUAUUGGGCGUAAAGCGAGCGCAGGUGGUUUAUUAAGUCUGGUGUAAAAGGCAGUGGCUCAACCAUUGUAUGCAUUGGAAACUGGUAGACUUGAGUGCAGGAGAGGAGAGUGGAAUUCCAUGUGUAGCGGUGAAAUGCGUAGAUAUAUGGAGGAACACCGGUGGCGAAAGCGGCUCUCUGGCCUGUAACUGACACUGAGGCUCGAAAGCGUGGGGAGCAAACAGGAUUAGAUACCCUGGUAGUCCACGCCGUAAACGAUGAGUGCUAGAUGUAGGGA